rnacentral:rRNA from 1 species
UACGUAGGUGGCAAGCGUUGUCCGGAUUUAUUGGGUUUAAAGGGUGCGUAGGCGGUCUUCUAAGUCAGUUGUGAAAUCCUUCAGCUUAACUGGAGAGGUGCAAUUGAUACUGGAAGACUUGAGUACUGAUGAGGUAGGCGGAAUGGACGGUGUAGCGGUGAAAUGCUUAGAUAUCGUCCAGAACACCGAUAGCGAAGGCAGCUUACUAAGGAGUAACUGACGCUGAGGCACGAAAGUGUGGGGAGCAAACAGG